rnacentral:rRNA from 1 species
GACGUAGGGCGCGAGCGUUGUCCGGAUUAUUGGGUCGUAAAGAGCUCGUAGGCGGCUUGUCGCGUCGUCCGUGAAAACCUGCGGCUCAACUGCAGGCUGGCGGUCGAUACGGGCAGGCUGGAGUUCGGUAGGGGAGACUGGAAUUCCUGGUGUAGCGGUGAAAUGCGCAGAUAUCAGGAGGAACACCAGCGGCGAAGGCGGCGCUCUGGGCCGGAACUGACGCUGAGGAGCGAAAAGCGUGGGUAGCAAAACAGGG